rnacentral:lncRNA from 1 species
GCGGUGUCUGUGUCCCAGAGAGAAAUGGUUCCGUGUCUUCGUGCAUAAGCAAGAGACCAGGGACCUCCACUGUGGCUGCCUCAGGAGCGGCUGCCUCUAAAUUCUGAAAUACGACUGAAUUAAUUCCCUGUUAUGGGCCCUUAAGGGGUAGGGCUAGCAUGAUCAUGCACCCAGUGCUCAUCUGUUCUAACUCCCGCCCGGUGCCAAACAUCCUGCCGUGUGUUAUGCAAGUAUUGUGCUAGUGAUAGGUGCCCCAAUGGAUGUCUUGGUUUCUGGUUUAUAGGAUGGUCAGAUGGAAAGAAAAGGAAGCUGUAAGAAUCAAGGGCCUACAUUUCUAUUACUUGGGAAGCCACCCUGCCGACCGGCAUACCAGGAGCACACUCUGGCCUCCCACGGAUGCCCCAAGGCUCCAUGCAUACCCUCCCCUUUGCUUGACUUAGUUUUCCAUACAUUUGGUAAUCUUUAAUCAGACAGGAUUUGAGCAGAAUUUGGAGAUUAAGCAAUGUUGUGGCAGCCAGGACUUUAUCCCAUUCAAGCCAGUACAUACUUGCCAGGAAACAGAAAUGGAUUAGUCUGUAGAUGUUACAACUCCCACGUCACCCCAGCAGCCCAGCCCUCCCCUACUACCCCAGGGGUAGUGCUGGGCUCCAGUCUCAGCUGGGUGGUCCUGAUGAGCUUGAGAAGCUUAGAAACUAGAUUCUGGACAAAUUGGAGACUCAAAGCGAGCCAGUGCUCAGGGACUGAGCCUCCGGACGAGAAAUGGGGGAAAUGGUUCCCUCCAGAUUCUGGACCGGGCAAGGAAAGGAGUCUGCGGAGGCCUGCUACGAAAGCUGCACACACACCCCCUGACUCGGAGGCAGGUACUGUUACCUGCCCUUUAGGGACCAGGAGACAGGUUCUGGGGUAAGCCCCACCUACUCGGGUUGCAGACUGUCCCGAGUCUCGAGACACUCCACCUGCCUUGCCAUCUGAGCGUUGGUGUCUUGUCCACAAACUGACACUGUUUGGGAUUUGUUCUUUCUAAACUUUUUCUUUUUUAAUCAUUAAUACCAUACUUCUUUACCUUAAUAUUUGCAGAAGCCCAUUAUAAAAACACAUAAAUAUAACAUGAUCUGGUUGGGUUGAGAAGGGGGCCUUGCCUCCGACCUCUUGACCCUCACCCCUUGCCCAACCUAGGCCCUGCAGAGGUCUGAGCUCCAUAACUGGAGACUGGAGAUCCACCAGUCUUUGUCCUUCCUACUGGUCCUGCAAGUCUAAGUAUGGCUGAGGUGUGGCCUAAGGGCACUUGCAGAAGAAUCCCCUGGAAGUCUAUUACAAAGACCUCUGUCUGGGCUCCUCACUUUACCUUCAAAUCAGAUCGGGUGUGGGGGCAGUGAUGGGGUGCAGAAAUCUGGGUUUUUAACUAGAUCCUGUGUCCAAUUUUAGGCAAACCACACUUCAAGAACUCAUUUCUGACCUCCAGGAUGUGUUUUAUAAAAGUAGAGAAGAAACAUAUCCCUUGCUGGAGCUCAGGGCAC